CCACUGGGUAAUGCAUGUGUUUAUAUAAUAAUUUAUGAGAUACCCGUAACAAUUAAUUGCUGCUGGGAGCCGUGCCAGUGGUAACAGAAUAUGAAAAACACGGAAUAUUGCAAUCCAAGACAAUCAGCUUGGCAGCUUCUUCAAAUAACAACAGGACAAUCGGUUUAUCAACUGCCUAAAAUAUACAAGAGAUAAUAGGAUAUUAUGCUUAUGAUGUUACUCUGAGUGUGUAUCCACACCGGGCAAGCUUGAAAAAUAUGCUUGUCCACGGUGUGAAUCAAACCUACGACCUUUGGAAUACUAGCCCACUCAGUUGGCAGAGCAUUGGGCUAGUAUUCCAAAGGUCGUAGGUUCGAUUCACACCGUGGACAGGCAUAUUUUUCAAGCUUGCCGGUGUGGAUAUACUCUCAGAGUCUCAGAGUAAGGCAUCGCAAGCAUCAUAUUCACCUGAGUGCAUUACACCAACACAGAAGAAUAGGAUAUUGUUUCAUUGAACUCUCCUGACGAAGGCCCUUUAAAAGUGAGGUAAGUCGUAACGUUGGGAAGUUUUCUUGUAUAUUUUAGGCAGUUGAUGAACCGAUUGUCCUGAUGUUUACGGAAUAGUGGGGUUUAGAUAUUGUCAUAAAACUAAAGGCCGAGACACACCGGACGCGAUUCGAGAAUGCAGCGCGAUCUUUCAACUUGAUACUCGGGGUUUUGGGGGGUAUAGCGGAAGUAAAAACCCUGAGUAUCAGGUUGCGCGAUUUUUCAGUUUUUGCAGCUAGCCCGUUCGCGGGCUAGCCACUAUGUAAAGCUAAACGAAAGAUGUCAAGAUGUGACGGAAAUUGUCGUCAACUUCGGAAACUGUCGUUCAUGACAUGAGGUAACCUGCGAUCAGGCCUAUAAACAAAUAAACAUCGAUCAUUUCCCGAUUCAUUGUGUUUUGGAAAUUUGGUAUAAUACCAAAUUUAUUUGUUCAAUAUUUCAUCACAACAAAACAAUGGAGAUAAAGAUAAACCAAUUGUCGACAAAACAUUAAAGAUGAAGGUGAAAACAUUGUUAUUUUGGUUGGCAUAUUCACAUUUAGGUAAUGUUAAUACUAAACAGCAAUAUUAUUUAUAUUUGAAAGUGUAUUAAUUAUGCACCAGUCAAUGUAAAUCCCCCCCAACCGGGGAGGGGGCGGGGAUUUAGCGGGGAAAGUGGUCAGUUUUGAUUGUAAAUGUGUCCCCGAUGAUGGGGGACUUGGACAACAUUUUCUCUUUCGGUAGACGAUGCGGGGAAGAAAGCUGGGGAAUGAAUUCAGUGGUUAACAUAUAUAUCCUGUGUUGCUGUUUUAGUUUUCUUUACAAGAAAAGUCUAAAUACAAUGAAUUUGAUUUUCUAUUGCUGAUCUAUGAAAUAUACAAAACUAUUUUCCCGGGGUUGAGAGACAUGCGGGGACAUUGAUUAAUUACCCUUUCACCAGGGGCGGGGACAUUUUCGCUCUUUUACUACCCCUCUAAGUCAGUCAAAAUCCCCGCCCCUCCCC